GCCCUGGUGGUGGAAUUGGUAGACACGCAGGACUUAAAAUCCUGUGUCCGCAAGGACGUACGGGUUCAAGUCCCGUCUGGGGUACAA
rnacentral:tRNA from 1 species